GGAGGCGUCGCAUAGCGGUCUAGUGCGCACGCUUGGAAAGCGUGUGUGGGGCAACCCACCGAGAGUUCGAAUCUCUCCGCCUCCGCCC
rnacentral:tRNA from 3 species